UAAUCUGCCCUAUGGUCUGGCAUACCCACGGGAAACUGUGGUUAAAACCGGAUAGACAAUUGGUACUGGAACUGUUCUUUUCUUGAAAGGCAACGCCUUAGGAUGAGUUGGCGGCGGAUUAGCUUGUUGGUAGUGUAAAGGACUACCAAGGCUACGAUCCGUACGGGGUGUGAGAGCACGAGCCCGGAGAAGGGUACUGAGACACUGACCCUAGCCCUACGGGGUGCAGCAGGCGCGAAACCUUUACAAUGUACGUAAGUGCGAUAAGGGGACUCCCAGUGCUCAGGUAUUGCCUGGGCUUUUGCCAACUGUAAAUAGGUUGGCGAAUGAGGGGUGGGUAAGACGGGUGCCAGCCGCCGCGGUAACACCUGCGCCCCAAGUGGCAAUCGCGAUUAUUGGGCCUAAAGCGUACGUAGCCGGAUUAAUAAGUCUUGGGUGAACUCGUUACGCUUAACAGAACGACGUGCUUGAGAUACUGUUAUGCUAGGGACCGGGAGGCGUUAGGGGUAUUUUCGAGGGAGCGGUAAAAUGCUAUAAUCUCGAGAGGACCACCUGUGGCGAAGGCGCCUAACGAGAACGGGUCCGACGGUGAGGGACGAAAGCUAGGGGAGCAAACCGGAUUAGAUACCCGAGUAGUCCUAGCUGUAAACGCUGUGUACUAGAUGUUGCAUAAUCUACAUGGUUGUGCAGUGUCGAAGCGAAGGUAUUAAGUACACCGCCCGGGAAGUACGGUCGCAAGGCUGAAACUUAAAGGAAUUGGCGGGAGAGCACCACAAGGGGUGCGGCGUGCGGUUUAAUCUAACUCUACGCAGAGAAUCUCACCAGCAGCGACGGCAGAAUGAAGGUCAGAUUGAAUGUCUUACUUGACGAGCCGAGAGGUAGUGCAGGGCCGUCGUCAGCUCGUGCCGUAGGGUGUCCUCUUAAGUGAGGUAACGAGCGAGACCCAUACCCUUAAUUGCCAGCGGGCAUUACGAUGUGACCGGGCACCUUAAGGGGACUGCUGUGGAAACGCAGAGGAAGGUGUGGGCAACGGUAGGUCUGUAUGCUCCGAAUCUGCUGGGCUACACGCGCGCAACAAUGGCAUGGACAAUGGGUUGCAACACCGAAAGGUGAAGCUAAACCUUCAAACUGUGUCUAAGUCUAGAUUGAGGACUGUAACUCGUCCUCAUG
rnacentral:rRNA from 1 species